UUGUUAUUUCUUUGUUUUUAUGUUGUUUCAGUGACUGUGGUUGCUUCUAUAAAUGUGAAUGAUGAAAAAUGGUUCUGGUUUAAGCACGGCCCUGGUGGUUUGUUACCCCCCGGUGGAUUUGGUCCUGGCAGUGGUUUGCUCCCUCCUGGUGGUGGUUUGUUCCCUCCUGGGGGAUUUGGCCCUGGCAGCGGUUUGCUCCCUCCUGGUGGUGGUUUGUUCCCUCCUGGUGGAUUUGGCCCUGGCAGUGGUCUGCUCCCUCCUGGUGGUGGUUUGUUCCCUCCUGGUGGAUUCGGUCCAGGUGGUGGUUUUGGCCCGGGUGGUAGAUUUGGCCCAGGUGGCGGAUUUGGUCCUGGUGGUGGAUUUGGUCCAGGUGGUGGAUACCGCCCGGGCCCUGGAUUUGGCCCUCGUACUGGUUUUGAAGUUGGUGUUGGAUUUGGUGGCGGCCUUAAAACAGAUGGUGGUUCUGGUAGCAGAAUUGGAAAAGGCAGUGGAGUUGGGAAAACUGAACGCCACUGAUUCUUCUUUUGUUGCAUGCACUCAAGACACUAUGUACCUGUCUGUGUGAUUCUUGCUUGCUAAAUAAUUUCUUGAUCAGUGUAUUACAAAUUCCGAUUAGACAUUCUGUCGACUUGAUCAUUAUAAUCCACUUGUCAAAUUGAUAUCAUACCGUCCAUUCUACUUUAUUACUCAAUUUCUUCUGAUAAAUAUCUUAAAAUAAAAAUAAAAAUAAAAAUAAAUAGAAGAAGAAGGACAAACAUUUUUUCACACUCACAAGUCGAAUCGAUAUCAUAUGGUCGAUUUUUUCAUAAUUAAGACUAACUCUAAGAGACAGGGAAUACACUUUUAAGAGUUAUAAACUAGUAGAAAAUUAUUUCUGGUGAUAUAAAUAUUAUUAUUAUUGUAAGGGUGGUUCUUUUUGGGGGAAAAAAAUCAGGAGUUACAAAGUCUACAACUACUACUCCUAAUUAUUAUUAUUAUUAUUUAUUUUUUUUGGAAAGCUACUAAUUAAUUUAAGAACAACGGGGUUACAUAAUCUACUACUAAUUAAUUUCUGUCACCGAAUUACGUAAAGAAUUCAAGUUAAAUAAGCAUUAAUUCAAUAUUUCCAAAUUAACUGAAAAAUAAAAAUUACCUUCUCUGCAGAUUUUAAGUUUCUUUCUCGAAAAAUGUUUUUGGGUUCUCAGUUUUAUUUUUUCUAAUUGCGUUGUAGAUUUUCUUGUUUCUGAAUAUGAGUCAUCCCAUUUUAUAUCAAUAAAAAUAUUUUAUUUUUCACUUUUGAAACGUCCUCGUCGUAACCACUCGGGUGUUACCUGAAAAAAUUAAGCAAAACACCAAGGCUUGAGUCAAUAAAAGAUACAAAAUAAUGUUAACAAAUUUGUACGUAUAGCAUGUGUAUUAAAAGUUAAUUCAAACCUAGAAACCUGCCAACAACUAUCUCAGUUUCUUGAACAGUUGGAUAUAUUAUAUUGGCGCAGAACUAAUUAACACUAGUCUAUAAAAGGGUUGGUAUCAAUUUACUUUUUCUAGUUAACUGGCUUCUUCAACUAAGAACAUUGCACUUAUUUUCUUGAUUGUGUAAUGGCUGGGGAAGAAAAUGGGGAAGAUGGGACUAUGGAUGUCAAAGGGAACCCUAUUCUUAGAUCCGAGAAUGGAGGAUGGACUGCUUGUUCUUUUAUUCUCUCUCUCUCUCUCUCCACUACUCAGUGCACUCUUAUCUUUUCCUACUUUUAACUGUUGGGAAUUGGGAAGGGCAAUAUAUAUUCUCUUUGUUUUCCCAUGUUGGUUUUAUCAAUACCUAUCUUGUACACAACUUGUUUCCUUUGUAUCUUCUCUCAAAUCUGGUGAUUUGAGGAUUAUAGUUAAUCGAUCCCAUGGUUUUCCAGUCUACGAAAUGCACUUCUCCAAUUAACGUCACCCGUCUCCACUAUCAAACAAUAUCGCAAGAGUAAUGUUAUUCAUCAGUAGCGAUGAUCAUAACUACUUUAAAUGAUAGUGGCCUAUGGUUUAUUGUCCAACAUAAAAGUUGAUGUUUAGAACCAACUUUUAUCAAAAAGAUAUUUUGAGCUAUCAAAUUAAUUGGUUGGUUGUCUCAUCAGCUGUAAAUCUUAUAUAUGGCCUACUCCAAAACCUAAAUUUCUUAGCUACCUCUUCCAAUCAAAGAUUCAGGAAAAAUUGUCAUGGCCCAUUUUGUCCAUAACGAAGUUCGAAGAAGCCUAAUGACACAAAGAAAGAACCACAUCUUAGUUUGGACAAUUUAGUCCAUAUUGAAUACUUCUCAAAAUAACUUUUUUAGCAUCAAACGUCGCACCAUAAACUUUUUAAGAUACAAAGACCGUUAGUGAAAUGAGUCUCUAUGAGGCAAUUUUUUCUACUUGCAGAACGUAAAUGAUGUACAGGUGGCGACCCACCCAAAGUUAGGUUCGAAAUAUAAAUUCACACCUUUAUGUAAUGGCAGAUAUUUUACCACCUUGCACUUAGUUGAACAGCUCAUAUAACAAUCAUAUAUCAUAAAAAUUCGCAUCACAUUUUGACUUGUAUAAAUGACCUUUGUCUUGUGCAGUUUAUGAAGUUUUUGAACGUAUGGCCUAUCAUGGGAUUUUAUCGAAUCUCAUCAUUUACUUGACCAGAAAAUGCAUCAAGGCACAUUUAAAUCAAUCAAUAAUGUCACCAAUUGGCAGAGGCAGAUCUAGAAAAUCAUGCUGGGAAGCUAAAAUUUAAAAUAUAUAUGCACAAAUUUUUAUAAAGUAUACGAUAUAAAGUUUCAUCAAGACAUGACUGACUGAAAUUAUCUCCGUUGAGCUCAAGAAUCAGAGUCAGAGAUGAAACAUGAACUAAAGAACACGUUGCCACCAGUAUCAUUUUCUUUGUGACUUGUGGAAGCUUGGGCCUUUGGGCAUUUCCAGAAUUAACGGGAAGAAUUUGAGAUUUGAGAAUUUGAGGAGUAUGAAUGCAUGAUUUAAUGAUUAGGUGGGUUACUAGGUUUGGACUUUGGAAUGGAUUCAAUGGGGGUUACUAGGUUUGGACUUUGGUAUGGAUUCAAUGGAAAUCAUGGAAUGGACUUAAUCUCUGGGCUAAUUUUUUAUUUUUUGGACUGGGAUUGGAUUUAACGAUUUAAUGGAGUCAAACAGUGGGCUAAUGUAUUAGGUGGGUUAGUGGGUUGGACUUUGGAAUUGGAACAAUUAGCUAAUUAUAAUUUUGGGCCGAGCUAUAAAAGAGGAAAUUACACCGAAGCACUUUUUUGAAUUUUCCAAUUCAAAAAUCAAGUUUAAAAAUUGUUUAUUCAAAAUUCAGGUGAAAAUUUAUUUUUUAAUAUUAAUAAUAAUAUUAAAAAACUAAAUUAAUCCAUCUUAUCAAAUUUAACUUCCAAACCCUAAUCAUUUCCAUCUCUUCUCUUUCUCUCACUUCUCGCCUCUCUCUCUCUCUCUCUCAAACGGCCUUCUUCUCCAUCUCUCUUCUAUCCUUGUUCUCUUUCUUGUGCUGGUCAAUACCCCCGUUGUUGUGAGCGCAAGUGCAGCAUCUGACACAAAUGGCAAGUUCGUAUCUCUUGGUCUUGCAAAAAAGUCCCUCAAAGAAGCCAAUGAGGGUUGAUGGAUCUCAUCCAUAGAGAAAUGGACUUUAUCAACUAUUGUCUCUAAAGCAAGCGCUAAAAGGGCUUUGCAUUUCUCAGGCUGUCGAGAGUUGGAUAGGGACAUAUCUGUUUCAAUUAAAGUUGGGGAAUCUGACUUUUCUCUAGCUAAAGGUGGAUUAGACUUUGAUCGAUUCUGUUAGGUGACUAGACAGUGGUAUGGUGAUUUUGAGAAUGUGAUUUUUAAGAUAGUGUGAUUGAUGGGUGCCGUCAUAGUGUUAUUGAUGGGUGUCGUCGUGGUGGGUGCUAUGUCGAGUGGUAAUUUUGAGAAUGUUAGUGUAGCCGGCGGUGUCACGGUGACUCGAUCUAGUUGGCGGAAGACAACAAGCGGUAACUUUGGGACGAUUUUUUUGGUGUUUUGGAAAUGAUGGUGGUGGUGCGUGCUGUGGAUUUCGGCUGCCAUGGUGAAUUUGUUUGGAAAUGGUACUGUUGUGGUAGUAACGAUGAUAAUGAGGUGAGAGUGGCUGUGAUGGUAGUAGUGGUGUGAUAGUGUUGGUGACGGUGGUAUGUGACCACUAUUUGGUAUAUAUGACCACCCAUUUAGUUAUCUAUGACAAAUUGGUUAAUUGUAACUUAAAAUUUUGAUAAUAUGUGACCUGUAAUUUUUUGAUUUGUGACUUCGAAAUAAAAUGUGACCUAUAAAAUUUAUGAUUUGUAACUUUGAAAUAAUAUGCGACUUAUAAAAUUUCUGAUUUGUGAUCUCGAAAUAAUUUGUGACUAAUUAAUUUAAUGAUAUGUGACUUAUAAUUAUUUACCUAUGACCAUUAAUUUUAUAUUUAUGAUUUUAUUAUAUUUGAUUAAUAAAUAUUUCUAAUUAAUUAAAUAUAUAUCUGAAUUUUGAAUUUUCAAACUAUUUACCUUAUUUCUGAAUUGGUGUAAAUAAUAUAUCUGAUAUAUGAAUUUUCCCUAACUUUUUUCAGAAAUUUUACACACACAAAUGGUAUCUAGCCGAAGACUGCACUAGGCUACAGCUCAAUCUAGCUAGGUCCUAAAUCUGCUCCUGUCAAUUGGGUAGGCACCGUUUGGAUGACUCCUAUCUUGGGUGCAUAUCCCGCAGAUGCUCUUUAUAAUAUCCCGAAAUUUUUUAGAAUAUAAUUUAAUUUUAUUUAUGCUAUAUUUUUAAUGUUUUGAAAGUUUAGGGACUAAAGUGUAUAUAAAGUAAACUUAAAUAAUAUUUAGAUUAAAAUAUAAAUAUUGACGGGACGAUGAUAAGUAUACGGAUAUUGGGCUCGUUGGAUAGAUAAUAAUUAAAGACGCAUUUUAGACUCGAGAAAAAAUUUAUUUGGGUUAGUCGAGCCCAAGUUAUCGAAGCCGGAAGAUAUAACAUUAAAAUAUUAAUUUAUUACUUUUGUUUGGAAGAAUUUACGUGGAGAGAGAGAUGAAAGUUGUUGAGAUAUUUUAUUAUUUUAUUAUUAAUAAUAAUAUUUUAUUAAGUGUGUUUUGCAUUGAGAGGUCUUACGUGAAGUACUAGGAUUCUAAGUAGGUGGUUGGUAUGUGAUAAUUGAUUUGUUUAUUAAAUGAAAUAAAGUGUAGAGAGAGAGAGAGAGAAUUAUGGGAAGCCACGUUCCUAAUGGUUAAAACAAAUUCCCUUGUAUAUAUAUGGUGCAUUGCCAUGUGUAAGAUAUAAAUUAUUUUUUUUCAAAUUGUGGGUAGUUAGCAAGAUUUGGGUCAAGAUUCUGUUUCAACUAUUUUGAUCCAUAUCUCCUUCCCCACUCCCACACGUUUCAUCAUUUUUUUUUUUAUAUAGAUAUUUUUAUUAUAUCAUAUGAAAACAAUAGUUUUCAUUCACUUCACUGUAAUAUUAUUGCACGAUAAGGCAGAAAGAAAAGAAAAGAUAGUUGCAACGUGAUUUUGGGUUUUCUUAUUCCAAGAAAUUGUUGGAGCGUGAACNNNNNNNNNNNNNNNNNNNNNNNNNNNNNNNNNNNNNNNNNNNNNNNNNNNNNNNNNNNNNNNNNNNNNNNNNNNNNNNNNNNNNNNNNNNNNNNNNNNNNNNNNNNNNNNNNNNNNNNNNNNNNNNNNNNNNNNNNNNNNNNNNNNNNNNNNNNNNNGAAAGUUAUGAUAUUAAUGAUAUGAUAUGAAUGAUAUGGCCAUUCCGGUACAAUGAAAUGAAAUGAUAUGAUAUGAUGUGAGCUCUUAUCGGAUUUAGAGUUAUGCGACGGUAUGGUAUUCUGACACUUGUGUUAAAAUUAUUUUUCGGGAUCGCACCAUUAAUGUAAUAUCCUACUGAGUAAAGCAGGUCAGAUCCACUGUCUUCUAAUGUUGUUGUGUCUAAAGAUUCUUUAUGUGCUCCGUCAUUGCAUGCCCUUCUAGAUACAACUUGUGCCAAAGUACCUUAUCUUAUCUAUGCAUCUUGGUGCAAUUUUAAGGAGAAAUGUAUAUGUAUACUUAAUUUCUAAUAUAGCAAUAGGUUUAAAUGUCAUUGUCCAAGAGAAUUGUAAGUGUAAGUUAGCAAUAAGUAUUCUAAACAUUAAUUGCAUUAUUUAAUUUUUUUUUUCUUUAAAUGUAUAUUCAGUAUUAUAAAAAUUCUAAUUGGAGAUAUUGAAGGUUGUCAUGAACAAAUUGCUUAACAGCUGUAUAGCAUAUAUGUCAAGGGUCUGUUAUCUCUUUAUAAGUUAAACAACUCUUGUUAACACAUUUUUUUUUAGUGAAAUCGCUACAAAGGUGUAGUAUUUAUUCAUAACUCUUUUACAAAUCAGACCGUCAAACACGACUCCCAUCUAACAUUCCAAAUUAUUACUCUCGAACAAAUAUGAAUUCCCUCUUAAUGUCAUGCGUUCAGUUGAUGUAUGUAGUUGGGUCUAAUGAUCCGAUAUUAACUUGCACGAUACAAUUUGAUUUUUAGGUCACUAUUAAAGGUCGAAUGGCAAAAUCUGUUUGGAUCCCCACGGAGUAUCCCUCAUUAACCAGUAGCACUUCAUUUCAAACUUAUUGGUUAUACAUUUUAGACAUGAGUAUCGAAGAGAAAGAGCUUUCACGCACGUGAAAUUUAAAUAUUUUAAAGAAAGAUAUGCCUUCUUGAACUGAAAAUCUGAGAUAAUAAGUCUAAUAAAACUUAAAUCAAAUUCUAGUUGAGCUUCCUUGCAUACAAGAAAAUUAUGAAAUGGCCCUUCACUGCACAAAGUAUCUUUGCUACAGCAUGAAACUUGCCAUUUCCCAUAUUAACAAGAAAAUAUCUCUAUGGAUCAUCAAAUUUUAUUGGUAGGCACGUGAAAGCAUUUCUGUCUGAUGCAUCUUACCAAACACUUGUUGAUGGAGUUUUGUACAGCAUUAGUAAACUGGUAGUUGUUAGGUGCCAUUAAAUGCAUUAUCUGAAUGAUGGGGACAAUAGAAUUAUAAGUAUAUAAUCCCUCUUGUAUGAUGUUGUUAAUGCAAUUCUGAAACAUAUAUUCCGCGGAAAGUUGUAAUGACAUUAUGGUUGCAAUGAAAGUUGGGGAGUUGUUAUUUCUUUGUUUUUAUGUUGUUUCAGUGACUGUGGUUGCUUCUAUAAAUGUGAAUGAUGAAAAAUGGUUCUGGUUUAAGCACGGCCCUGGUGGUUUGUUCCCUCCUGGUGGAUUUGGCCCUGGCAGUGGUUUGCUCCCUCCCGGUGGUGGUUUGUUCCCUCCUGGUGGAUUUGGCCCUGGCAGUGGUUUGCUCCCACCUGGUGGUGGGUUUUUCCCUCCUGGUGGAUUUGGCCCUGGCAAUGGUUUGCUCCCUCCAGGUGGUGGUUUGUUCCGUCCUGGUGGAUUCGGUCCAGGUGGUGGUUUUGGCCCGGGUGGC
rnacentral:lncRNA from 1 species